UCAGCUGAAAUUACAUAUAACUUCUCGAACUCAAAAAAGUGGUUUAUUUUUAUUUUUUUGGGUUAUUAUAUGUACAGUUAAAGGAGUUGGCCUAGACUCAUGAGAUUCUGAAUGAUUCUGAGUAAUCAGUGAACAAUAUGGUGAGGACGUGCUCAAGGAUCGAAAGGGUGGUGGCGGUGGGGGCCAUGACCCAUAUGACAUCUUCCAAUCUUUCUUAGAUGGCAGUGCUUUUGGAGGUUAUAAUUCAGUGAAUUGUUUUUUUCUUUAUAUUGUGUAUAUAGUCGUAAACCAGCAAUUAGAAAAGGAAAAGGAAGAAAAUUUGCUAAGACAUUGAGCAUACCUCGUUUCAUUGGAAGACCUUUAUUUUGGAACCUUAAAUAAGCUGUCACUUUCCUGGAAUGUGAUAUGUUCCAAGUGUAAUGGGUUAGUAAAACUUUGCAAACCAGUAAGGAAAUUCCUGGACUCAGGUUGGUUUAUGGUUUUGGACUCCACUGAUGAAGACUGAAUUGACCGCAUGGAUUUAAGCUCUAAUCAUUACACUUGCAAACCAGUAUGGAAAUUCCUGGACUUUGGUUGGUUUACGGCUUUGGACUCCAUUGGUGAGGACUGAGGAUGACCACAUGGAUUUAAGCUCAAAUCAUUUGGUGUGCAAAUCUCCUUUGAGCUUUAAUAUUAGCAUUCAUCUGGAAAGAAUAUUGGCAUCAUUAUUAUUUCCUCUCUUAAUGUUGUGGAAUGUUGCUAAUCAUUAAUGUCUCCCUCCAAUUAAGUAAUGUUGAAUAUUAGCUUUAAUGAAUUCAUUUGAAAUUCUCUCAUAUGCAAAAUGAGAUUGUUUUUCUUCAUCUGCUGGCCAGACCAGCAAAGGAAGGACAUACUUUAGAAGCCAAGAAAAGGAAAAGAAAGCCCCAUCUACUAUGAAAAAGCUAUAUAUGUGUUUACAAGCUGCUGGUUAGAGAAGAAAGAAAGAGGAGAUUCCCAGGAUCCAAAACGACAACACUUUGCUGCCACAUCAGUUAAUAAAGGGCAGAAAGUUAUUUCACAGGUUGCUUGCCACGUUGGAGCUGCUGGGAUUAAUUGAACGCACCGUUUUGUUGUUUCUGGAAUAUAUAUGUGUAUUUUUUGGUCUGCUUCUUGAUAUAUCAGAUAUAGAAAAUUAGAGAGGGAAAAAAGAGAGAACGGUUGCAGACCCGUAUAUAGAGCUGUGUGCGAAAACAGAGUCCUUUGAGUUUUGAGAGCCAUUCUUUCUUGUUUUCUUUGUGUUCUCAACGUGGGUUUGAGAGAGAUCUUUGUGGAGAUCGAAGAGUGAAUGGGUGUAUUGGGUUCUUGGGUUUUGGCUUUGGGAAUUCUUGUGUGAAUCGUCCAUUAGAGGGUCUGCAACUGAGCUUGUAAACACUACAUUUACAUAGUGCAGAAAGCUCUACACCUGAGCAACGAGGACGUAGGUCGAUUUUGACCGAACCUUGGAUAAAGGUCCAGAAAUACUAAAGCAUUAUCAGCCUUAAAUACUGGGAUGACUGCAUUGAUCCCCAGGAAAUGGAAGCAUUGUGGAAAACUCUGGAAGUGACUGCAGAACGGUCUUGGCUGAUAUAGUUCUCUGCAUGCAUUCUGGUUCAGAAUUUGGUCCUGGAGUCGACAAGAAUAUGGAUAUAUAGAAGAGCAUACAGGUUCAUCUUUUGCCCCUUCUGUUCAUGGUAGGGUAAGCUAAUCUUGACGUCUAAGAAAAUCAAUUUUUAAAUUCUUAAUUAUUGAUUAAUUACAAUGCCCAAAACACACAAUGAGCACUGCUCAGUUUUUAGUAUUGAAAUUUGUACAGGCAGGUAGAUGUGGCAUACAUCAUCACAU